rnacentral:rRNA from 1 species
AAGGAUCAUUAAUGAAUUACAAGUCGGUCAUCUGUGCUGGUGGAAACACAUGUGCACGUUGAUCGCAAAUCCACACACCUGUGAACCUUUGACUCUGAGAUUCGCUUGUGCAAACUUGCAGCUGGUUGACUUUGGUYGGCCUGGAUCUUGGAGUAUUUUUACACACUCUGAAUGUAAUGGAAUGUCUAUGUGCAUAACGCGCAAAAAAACAACUUUCAACAACGGAUCUCUUGGCUCUCGCACCGAUGAAGAACGCAGCGAAAUGCGAUAAGUAAUGUGAAUUGCAGAAUUCAGUGAAUCAUCGAAUCUUUGAACGCACCUUGCACCCUUUGGUAUUCCGAAGGGUACACCCGUUUGAGUGUCAUUGUAAUCUCACUCCUUCAACUUUGUUGUUGUUGGAUGUGGACUUGGACUCUGUYGUGUCACAACGACUGGUCUUAAAUGAAUGAGUGCACCCUGCUGUUGCAGCGUCUUCAGUGUGAUAAGCAUCUUCACUGGAACAAAGUUCCCUUUUGGGACACGCAGGCAUUGUAGGCUCUGUGCUGGCAAACCGUCCUUUUUGGACAAAUCUUUGACAAUUUGACCUCAAAUCGGGUGGGACUACCCGCUGAACUUAAGCAUAUCAAUAAGCGGAGGAAAAGAAACUAACAAGGAUUCCCCUAGUAACGGCGAGUGAAGAGGGAAAAGCUCAAAUUUUGAAUCUGGUGUCUUUGGCGCCCGAGUUGUAAUCUAGAGAAGUGUUUUCUGCCUCGGACCACACAUAAAUUCCCUGGAAUGGGGUGUCAUAGAGGGUGAGAAUCCCGUUUGUGGUGUGGACUACCUUGGCUCUGUGAUACACUCUCAACGAGUCGAGUUGUUUGGGAAUGCAGCUCAAAAUGGGUGGUAAAUUCCAUCUAAAGCUAAAUAUUGGCGAGAGACCGAUAGCGAACAAGUACCGUGAGGGAAAGAUGAAAAGCACUUUGGAAAGAGAGUGAAACAGUACGUGAAAUUGUUGAAAGGGAAGCGUUUGAAGUCAGUCGCAUUGGUCGGAACUCAGCCUGGCUUCUGCCUGGUGUAUUUUCUGGCAAAUGGGUCAGUGUCAAUUUUGAUCGAGAGAGAAAGACUUGAGGAAUGUGGCUGUCUUCGGGCAGUGUUAUAGCCUCUUGUUGUAUGUCUCGGUUGGGAUUGAGGAAYGCAGCACGCCUUUUGGCCGGGGUUCGCGCCCUCGGUACGUGCUUAGGACACUGGCAU